rnacentral:rRNA from 1 species
GACAGAGGGUGCAAACGUUGUUCGGAAUUACUGGGCGUAAAGCGCGUGUAGGUGGCAAGGCAAGUCGGGUGUGAAAGCCCUGGGCUCAGCCCAGGAAGUGCACUCGAUACUGCCUCGCUAGAGUCCCGGAGAGGUUGGUGGAACUCUCGGUGUAGAGGUGAAAUUCGUAGAUAUCGAGAAGAACACCGGUGGCGAAGGCGGCCAACUGGACGGUGACUGACACUGAGACGCGAAAGCGUGGGGAGCAACAGGG